UACGAAGGGUGCGAGCGUUAAUCGGAAUUACUGGGCGUAAAGCGUGCGCAGGCGGCUUGCCAAGUCAGAUGUGAAAGCCCCGGGCUUAACCCGGGAACGGCGUUUGAAACUGGCAGGCUAGAGUUUGGCAGAGGGGGGUGGAAUUCCACGUGUAGCAGUGAAAUGCGUAGAGAUGUGGAGGAACACCGAUGGCGAAGGCAGCCCCCUGGGCCAAAACUGACGCUCAGGCACGAAAGCGUGGGGAGCAAACAGG
rnacentral:rRNA from 1 species